GGGCUGGACCUUCGCCUCGGCGGCGGAGGAGCUCGGGGGCCAUUUUGUGAAGAGACGGCGAGCGAACGGUCGUGCGCUGCUUGGCCGCUGUAGCUUCGGCGUCUCGGCACGGACCCGCGGUAGGGGAGGCAGUCUCUUCUCUCGCCCCAUCUUCUCGUGAGAUUUUUUUGAUCUUCAGCUACACUUUGUGAGAGACCUUGUAAUCAAAGGAGAUGGCUAGCAAUGUUACCAACAAAACAGACCCUCGAUCCAUGAAUUCCCGUGUAUUCAUUGGGAAUCUCAAUACACUUGUGGUCAAGAAGUCUGAUGUGGAGGCAAUCUUUUCAAAGUAUGGCAAAAUUGUGGGUUGCUCUGUGCAUAAGGGCUUUGCCUUCGUCCAAUAUGUUAAUGAAAGAAAUGCCCGAGCUGCUGUAGCUGG